AUGAAGAAUAGGGGGUUGGUCUAUAGAAGGGCGAGCGACAAGCUAUCGAUCACGCUCCUGAUCGACACCAAGGCAGCGAAGGUUUGUUUUGCCGAGGCUGGCAACGAUGUCGUCGAGUUCCUCUCCGGCCUCCUCUCGCUGCCGUUGGGCACAAUUGGCAACCUGCUCACAAAAGAGCGCAUGGCCGGCAGCGCCGGUAAUUUGCUUGCGAGCGUGCAGAUGCGGGAUGCCGACUACAUGGGCAAGGAGCAGCACCUGAGCCCGGCCGUCCCCUGGGCCACGCUUUGCCGCCUGGAGGAACUGCUAGGCGCCGAGGUGAGCAACUGCCACACCCGCUUCUACACCUGUGAAAAUAGGAAUACCGGCAGAAGCUGUGGAUUUCUCUCGGCCAGCAGUGACAGCGCCUGCCCCGCCUGCAAAGGUAGAAUGUUCGACCCUAUGCAUGUCAGGAGCGAGAAUGAGGAGGUCACGGCAGCUAGCAGGGCGUCUGUGUACACCAUCAAGGACUACCUCAUGGUGAGUCCGGCGCCAAGCUUGCUGUCAGGCAUCACCUUGUUUGCGCAUUGCGGCGUCACGGACCUCAGCGUGCUAGAGAAGAAGUCUGUCAAGAUCGGCAAGGAAGAGGCGUUGGGGAUACUCGCUGCUGCCCUCAAGUCCAAGACUGUCCUCACGGAUGUCUUCCUGCCAAAGAAGAAUGCACGCUGCAAGAGGGAACCUCCUGAGGAAGUCAUUUACAUGUGA
rnacentral:rRNA from 1 species